AUUCUUUCGACGGCAGUUGGUCGGGCAGACUUAUUGAGAUAGUUAAAUAUAGUUUUUCUCGAAGUCGGUGGUGAUCUAAAAUGCAUGGAAAACGCCGUGACCGAACGGCAGUUCUACGCUUCUCCUCCUUCUUUAUAGUGCUAGAAGAUUCAGCAAAUCGGGCUCAGCGGAUAUACUUCCGAAGAUAAAACUGUUGAGUGGACAUCUGUACGGGAGAGAUCCUGCAAACGCAGCUUAUGCAUCCAGUUUCCCGCGUUCGAUAAUGAUGGCGACUGUGGCAAAACAUGUUUUGAGAAGGUUAUUGAGCAAUAAAUUAAAUAUUACAGAUA